UAUGUUGUAGCCCAGUUUAUUACCUUUUGAGGUCUUGCUUGACGUGAAUCAAUUAUGAUUUAUUUUUAAACGUGCCACCGUAUUGCUAAUUCCAAUUUCAAUGUAGCCCGUCAGAUUCACCCUACAAAUCCUAAGUGACGGCAUGCCACAAUUUGCGGCGUUUUAAGAGAAAAUUCGGAGGUUUUUAAAGAAAAAUCUAAAGAAGGCAUCCGUCUUUGUCACAGUCUUCGUAUUAACUUCGUUUUUUUAAAAAAAAAUGGUCUUUAGAUUUCUGAACAUUUUAAGGUAUUUAAACUGCAAUUUCAGCGAUUUCUGGUGGACUUUUAUCGGCGGAGCGUUAAUACCAUACAAACACAUUUAUUUAUUUAUUUUAUUUAUUUUUUUAUUUGCAUUUAUAUCCCGCCCUUCUCCGAAGACUCAGGGCGGCUUACACUAUGUCAAGCAAUAGUCUUCAUCCAUUUGUAUAUUGUAUACAAAGUCAACUUAUUGCCCCCAACAAUCUGGGUCCUCAUUUUACCUACCUUAUAAAGGAUGGAAGGCUGAUUACGCGUUUCAAUUUAAAACUAUAUUACUGAGCUCGUUUAGAGAUAUAAAGAGCCUUUCCUUCCUGCUAUCUUGACCAACCCAGCUACUUAACAGCUGGAUAACCUUGGAUUUUGCAUUGGAAUUCCGUUAUAAAGAAAGGGAAAAGCGACUUAAGUAGCCUGUAUAUCCUACAAAUCUGAUAAAAAGCACUUCCUUGGCUCUGCUACAUUUUCUGGAAUAAAUUGCUCAUUGGGCCAAGAAGUCAGGGCAAUGGUGACCAAGAUGGAAAGCCCAGCUACACAUCUGUAGAGCAUUAUCGGUUGGAGUUCUUACAUAAAGAAGGUAAUAAGGAGUUGCUGAUCCAGUUCUACAGCGGAAUUAUUGAGUCUGUCAUCUGCACCUCUAUAAUUGUCUGGUUUGGUUCUGCAACCCAACAAGACAGACACAGAUUUCAGAGGAUAAUUAGAACUGCAGAAAAAACAAGUACUACCAACACUGAAGACAUGUAUACUGCACGAGUCAAAAAGAGGGAUGUGAAAAUAUUUACAGAUCCCUCACAUCCAGCAAGUAGCCUCAGCACUUACCUAAGGAUAUUAAAAGAGAAAGGGAAAGCAAUGUUCAAUGUUUCAAUGUACCACUAGUGAACGUUAAAAAAACCACAAUUUUAUCAAGGGUGAAAAAGGCAGUUUAGCAUGAAAAUGCUCCUUAUGAAGUGAGCGGGAAUGACAGGCAGCUUGGUAACCCAGAUGACUGACAUGGAGGGCUGCAUCCAGAUUCAAAGAGGAGGGGCCAUGCUCAUCAAACAAUAGCUGUUUGGAGCAAAGACAUCACCUAUAACAAAAUAAAGCACAGCAUGUGGACUGUUUGGCACAGGUUAUCCUGGCAUUUACUAAAUCUGUACUAUUAAUUUCAUCGUUCCCAUCACCCGUCUCCUUCCACUUAUGACUGUAUGACUGUAACUUUGUUGCUUGUAUCCUUACAAUU